rnacentral:tRNA from 1 species
GGGUAAGUUAAAGAAUAAACUGUUUGGUUCAUGUUCAAAUAAUAUAAUUGCGGUUGUUCCUUCUUUA